rnacentral:rRNA from 1 species
UACGUAGGGUGCGAGCGUUAAUCAGAAUUACUGGGCGUAAAGAGUGCGUAGGCGGAUAUAAAAGUUAGAUGUGAAAUACCCGGGCUUAACCUGGGGAAGCCAUUUAAAACUAGAUAACUAGAGUCUAUCAGAGGGGGGUAGAAUUCCAAGUGUAGCAGUGAAAUGCGUAGAGAUUUGGAGUAAUACCGAAGGCGAAGGCAGCCCCCUGGGAAAAGACUGACGCUGAGGCACGAAAGCGUGGGUAGCAAACAGG